UACGAAGGUGGCAAGCGUUGUUCGGAUUUACUGGGCGUACAGGGAGCGUAGGCGGUUGGAUAAGCCCUCCGUGAAAUCUCCAGGCUUAACCUGGAAAGUGCAGAGGGGACUGUUCAGCUAGAGGAUGGGAGAGGAGCGCGGAAUUCCCGGUGUAGCGGUGAAAUGCGUAGAGAUCGGGAGGAAGGCCGGUGGCGAAGGCGGCGUUCUGGACUGCAACUGACACUGAGGAACGAAAGCCAGGGGAGCAAACGGG
rnacentral:rRNA from 1 species